CCUACGGGAGGCAGCAGUGGGGAAUAUUGGACAAUGGGGGGAACCCUGAUCCAGCGACGCCGCGUGAGUGAAGAAGUAUUUCGGUAUGUAAACCUCUAUCAUCAGGGACGAAAGAAAUGACGGUACCUGACUAAGAAGCCCCGGCUAACUACGUGCCAGCAGCCGCGGUAAUACGUAGGUGGCAAGCGUUAUCCGGAUGCAUUGGGUGUAAAGGGUGCGUAGGUUGUGUUAUAAGUUAGCUGUGAAAUACCAAUGCUCAACAUCGGGGCUGCCGCUGAUAAUGUAGGACUAGAGAUCGGAUGCAGCAGACGGAAUGUGUAGUGUAGCGGUGAAAUGCAUAGAUAUUAGAAAGAACACCGAUUGCGAAGGCAGCUUGCUAGGCCGGAUCUGACGCUGAGGCACGAAAGCGUGGGGAUCGAACAGGAUUAGAUACCCGUGUAGUC
rnacentral:rRNA from 1 species